rnacentral:rRNA from 1 species
AUUGAACGCUGGCGGCGUGCUUAACACAUGCAAGUCGAUCGGUAACAGGUGUAGCAAUACAUGCUGACGAGAGGCGGACGGGUGAGUAAUGCUUGGGAAUCUGCCGUAUUAGUGGGGGACAACCCGGGGAAACUCGGGCUAAUACCGCAUACGCUCUACGGAGGAAAGCCGGGGACCGCAAGGCCUGGCGCUAAUAGAUGAGCCCAAGUCGGAUUAGCUAGUUGGUAGGGUAACGGCCUACCAAGGCGACAAUCCGUAGCUGGUCUGAGAGGACGACCAGCCACACCGGAACUGAGACACGGUCCGGACUCCUACGGGAGGCAGCAGUGGGGAAUAUUGGACAAUGGGGGCAACCCUGAGUCCAGCGACGCCCGCGUGGGUGAAGAAGGCCUGCGGGUUGUAAAGCCCUUUC